AGAGUUUGAUCAUGGCUCAGAAUCAACGCUGGCGGCGUGCCUCAGACAUGCAAGUCGAACGAUUAAGACUCUCUUCGGAGAGUGCAUAAAGUGGCGCACGGGUGAGUAACACGUAAGUAAUCUACCUUCGAGUGGGGAAUAACGUUCGGAAACGGACGCUAAUACCGCAUAAUGCAGCGGCAUCGAAAGAUGACAGUUGUUAAAGAUUUAUCGCUUGAAGAGGAGCUUGCGGCAGAUUAGCUAGUUGGUAAGGUAACGGCUUACCAAGGCGACGAUCUGUAUCCGGUCUAAGAGGACGGUCGGACACACUGACACUGAAUAACGGGUCAGACUCCUACGGGAGGCAGCAGUCGGGAAUUUUGGGCAAUGGGGGAAACCCUGACCCAGCAACGCCGCGUGAAGGAUGAAGUAUUUCGGUAUGUAAACUUCGUAAGAAUAGGAAGAAUAAAUGACGGUACUAUUUGUAAGGUCCGGCUAACUACGUGCCAGCAGCCGCGGUAAUACGUAGGGACCAAGCGUUGUUCGGAUUUACUGGGCGUAAAGGGCGCGUAGGCGGCAAUUCAAGUCAGCUGUGAAAUCUCCGGGCUUAACUCGGAACGGUCAGCUGAUACUGCUUUGCUAGAGUGCAGAAGGGGCAAUCGGAAUUCUUGGUGUAGCGGUGAAAUGCGUAGAUAUCAAGAGGAACACCUGAGGUGAAGACGGGUUGCUGGGCUGACACUGACGCUGAGGCGCGAAAGCUAGGGUAGCAAACGGGAUUAGAUACCCUAGUAGUCC
rnacentral:rRNA from 1 species